GUCAGCACACAGCAUGAACAUGAGGAGCCCUGCUCAACUCCUGGGGCUUCUGAUGCUCUGGCUCCCAGGUGCCAAAUGUGAUGUUCAGUUGACCCAGUUGCCAUCCAUGUCUGCAUCUCUUGUAGAGAGAGUCUCCAUCACUUGCAGGGCCAAUCAGGGCAUUGACAAUUAUUUACAUUGGUACCAGCAGAAACCAGGGAAUGCUCCUAAGCUCCUGAUUUAUUUUGCCACUAGUUUGCAAUCUGGGACCACAUCCAGGUUCAGUGGUGGUGGAUGAAAUGUCUCCUUUUUCUUGCUCUAUUUAUAUAUUACCAUACAUUAUAUUA